UUUCUGCAGGCAGGUGCAUCAGCUGCUGAUGUCGAAGAGGCACUUACCCUGCCUGCCAGUCCUCGGUUGAUACUGGUUGGUGAUACUCCACAUUGGAUGCUGAGCAUUGAGGGCCAGGUGGUGUGUGAGGGGACCACCUUUGUGUCUGGCCUUGCAGUACUUUUUGCGUCAUAUUACAACUUUAACCUGCAGUACCAGGAUGAGGCGGCUUGUACGCUGGAGUUCAUUCAAAGACGGUUCAUCGAUAUAAAUCCUGAGAAGGGAACAAGAGCCCA